rnacentral:rRNA from 1 species
UACGGAGGGUGCAAGCGUUAUCCGGAUUCACUGGGCGUAAAGGGUGCGUAGGCGGGCAGGUAAGUCCGAGGUGAAAUCUCUGAGCUUAACUCAGAAACUGCCAUGGAUACUAUUUGUCUUGAAUAUUGUGGAGGUGAGCGGAAUAUGUCAUGUAGCGGUGAAAUGCUUAGAUAUGAAAUAGAACACCAAUUGCGAAGGCAGCUCACUACACAAUUAUUGACGCUGAGGCACGAAAGCGUGGGGAUCAAACAGG